rnacentral:tRNA from 1 species
AGAGUUUUGUCAGAUUUAAUGUGUUAAAUUUAGGUUUUAAUUAUGCUUUUAGCAUUCUCUA